rnacentral:rRNA from 1 species
AUUGAACGCUAGCGGGAUGCUUUACACAUGCAAGUCGAACGGCAGCGCGGACUUCGGUCUGGCGGCGAGUGGCGAACGGGUGAGUAAUGUAUCGGAACGUGCCCAGUAGCGGGGGAUAACUACGCGAAAGCGUAGCUAAUACCUCAUACGCCCUACGGGGGAAAGCAGGGGAUCGUAAGACCUUGCACUAUUGGAGCGGCCGAUAUCGGAUUAGCUAGUUGGUGAGGUAACGGCUCACCAAGGCGACGAUCCGUAGCUGGUUUGAGAGGACGACCAGCCACACUGGGACUGAGACACGGCCCAGACUCCUACGGGAGGCAGCAGUGGGGAAUUUUGGACAAUGGGGGCAACCCUGAUCCAGCCAUCCCGCGUGUGCGAUGAAGGCCUUCGGGUUGUAAAGCACUUUUGGCAGGAAAGAAACGUCGCGGGCUAAUACCCCGUGGAACUGACGGUACCUGCAGAAUAAGCACCGGCUAACUACGUG